UAAAGGGUCAACAAUUUUCUCAUCGAACGAAGAACAGAAUACAUGCCAUUUUGUCGAAACUGGGUAAUGGCUUGGAAACCAAACCCAGAAGCCUGGGAGAAGAAGAAGAAACCACAAAAAUUGUUUAUGAUCACAGUGUAAAAAAAGGUAAGUGCAGGUGAUAUCAGAUCAGGGAAUAAGUCGGAGAAUUGAAACAGUGUCAAAUUUGCUGUCUCAAAAUCACUUAAUUGAAACCUAUCAAAAUUUAUAUUUACUUCAACUGAGCAAGGAUGUCUGGUCGGGAAGGAGGUAAAAAGAAGCCAUUGAAAGCCCCCAAAAAGGAAAAGGGACCGAUAGACGAGGAUGACUUAGCCAUGAAGCAGAAAAUGAAGGAGCAACAGAAAGCCCUGCAAGAAGCCAAAGCGAAGGCAUCUCAGAAAGGUCCAUUGGUAGGAGGAGGGAUAAAAAAAUCAGGAAAGAAAUGAGAACACAGAAUCAACUUUUUUACUGGUAUCAGAAAAAAUUCAGCUUUACUAAAUGUUCAUAUAACAAAUAAAUUUCUUGUGAAAUAA